UACGUAGGGGGCAAGCGUUGUCCGGAUUUAUUGGGCGUAAAGAGCGUGUAGGCGGCUUUACAGGUCCGCUGUGAAACUCGAGGCUCAACCUCGAGCUGUCGGUGGAAACCGUAAAGCUAGAGUCCGGAAGAGGAGAGUGGAAUUCCCGGUGUAGCGGUGAAAUGCGCAGAUAUCGGGAAGAACACCCGUGGCGAAGGCGGCUCUCUGGGCCUGUCCUGACGCUGAGGCGCGAAAGCUAGGGGAGCGAACAGG
rnacentral:rRNA from 1 species